GAGAGAGGGUCAGGGGCUGGAGUCGCACAAGGAGAAAAACACGACUAGGCGGCUGUCCAUUCAAGGUCCACGCGGCACAUAAGCCUCCUAUUCAGUCGGCUGGGGAAAAAAGGAUGAUGGCGGCGCCCCUUUUGGCAGAGGCGGAGAUCUAGCCUGUUUGGGCGCGGCCAUCUUGGAAGAAGGCCGGUGUCCGUAAAGCAGGGAAGAUGCCCAGACCUGGGACAGCUUUGUAAGAUAGACAAGAACAAAACACGGCAGAUAUCCACUUCUAUUAUGAAAAGGAUUCACCAUUUAUAAGCUGGAGGACUUUUGUUAGAUCAAGGGAAAUGACUCUAAAUAGAGAAAAGAGAACAAGAAUCCUAUUCCUAGGAAAAUAAUUUGUUCCCAGCAGGCCUACUCAAAAAGAAUUGAUAAAGGAAGUUCUGAUACAAGGAAAUAAAACAAGGAAACAUAACACCAGAAAUGAAGAAAGAGGAACAGAAAAGUCUGGUUCUCUACCAGCCAUGCUGGAGUGCACUGGCACAAUCACUCUCACCAAAGCCUCCAGAUCCUGGGCUUAAGUGAUCCUUCUGCAUCAGCCUCCCAAGUACCUG